UACAGAGGGUGCGAGCGUUAAUCGGAAUUACUGGGCGUAAAGCGCACGUAGUCGGCUUGUCAAGUCGGGUGUGAAAUCCCCGGGCUCAACCUGGGAACUGCAUCCGAUACUGGUGGGCUCGAAUCCGGGAGAGGGAUGUGGAAUUCCAGGUGUAGCGGUGAAAUGCGUAGAUAUCUGGAGGAACACCGGUGGCGAAGGCGGCAUCCUGGACCGGCAUUGACGCUGAGGCGCGAAAGCCAGGGGAGCAAACGGG
rnacentral:rRNA from 1 species